UGGGGUAGCCCAGUUGGCAGAGCAUGAGACUCUUAAUCUUAAGGUUGCGAGUUCAAGCCCCACAUUGGGCAAAA